GUGGCGAACGGGUGAGUAACACGUGGGUAACCUACCUUCAAGAGGGGGAUAACAUCCGGAAACGGGUGCUAAUACCGCAUAGUUUCAGCUUUCACAUGGAAGCUGAAGGAAAGACGGCCUUUGUGCUGUCACUUGGAGAUGGACCCGCGGCGCAUUAGUUAGUUGGUAGGGUAACGGCCUACCAAGACGAUGAUGCGUAGCCGACCUGAGAGGGUGAUCGGCCACAUUGGGACUGAGACACGGCCCAAACUCCUACGGGAGGCAGCAGUAGGGAAUCUUCCGCAAUGGACGAAAGUCUGACGGAGCAACGCCGCGUGAGUGAAGAAGGUUUUCGGAUCGUAAAACUCUGUUGUUGGAGAAGAACAAGUAAGAGAGUAACUGCUCUUACCUUGACGGUACCCAACCAGAAAGCCACGGCUAACUACGUGCCAGCAGCCGCGGUAAUACGUAGGUGGCAAGCGUUGUCCGGAUUUAUUGGGCGUAAAGCGAGCGCAGGCGGUUCCUUAAGUCUGAUGUGAAAGCCCACG
rnacentral:rRNA from 1 species